GUUCCCUCAGCCUGAGGAGGGGUAGGGGGCGGUGGCCCCGGGUUCUAGCCCGCCUGUCCUCGGCCCCCACUUCUGGAAUGAGCCUGCCCGCCCCCUGACUCUCAGGCCACAGCUCCGGCCACAGCUCUGGCUCCUGCUCCGCGGCGGAUCCCACAAACCCGGCAGCCACGGCGGUGGCGGUGGCGGUGGCGGUGGCGGUGGCGGCGGCGGCGGCGGCGGCAGCGGCAGGCGGCAUCCCAGGGUGAUAGGCUGAAGCAAUCGAGGGCCGAGAGCCCGGCCGCGUGUGCACUCGAGUAACGAAGCCGGGGAGGGACUGCGCCGCAGGCAGGAAAAGUCGGACACCGAAUUAUUCAUCCGGCCUGUCCCGCCUACUUUCCAAGUACCCUCCCAGGGAUAGCCGGGUAUUGAGCGGUCCGGGUCUCUGCUGCUCAAAAGAUCGAAGAAGCUGCUUUAUCUUACAGUCACCCAAGGGGGAGCGCCUUCUUCCUUCCCAGAGUGGAGUGGCAGUGGGUCCGGGAUUCUGGGAUAUGCACAGGGUCUGCGCCCUGCGCCCUGUCCGCGCUGAAGCUGAACUUGUCAUUGGUUUGCAACAGCAUGGUGAAGAAGUGUGGUGUGGAUGGACGGACGGGCCUCUCAGGCACAUGAAAUACUCAAAGCCCAGUAUUAACCAAACAUGUUUCUCUGUUUUGUCUUUGAUCUUUGUGCAGUGUGUUGGCUUUUUUCCUUUAAUGAUGUCACUUGUAUUUUAUUUUUGGUUUAUUUGUAGACUGUCUCCCUCCUUGGCCAUGGCUUUACUUUUAUGUCCACCCAAGGAGAGUUUCACCAGUUUAGGUUUAAGAAAUUACUGACAAGUUAACAAUAAUAAUUUCAAAAUUGAACAGUAAUAACUUAAACCGUGCCUUGGACAUAGUAGAUCUCCAACAGUUUUUCUUGAAUGUGGCUACCUAAUGUGGAACAAGAUUUUUCAUAAUUACAUGUUGCUAUUUUUAAUACCUUUUGGGAGGUUCUUUAGUCCCCCCCGCCCUUUCUCCCUACGUUGCACAAAGAGACUGGUCUACAAGGGGUCCUGUUAGUUUUCUGGUUUUGUGGGGUCCUGGAAUAUUGUUUGGGCUUAUUGAGAGUUAACAAGGAUGUAUUUUGUGAGUUUCUCCAAAGUCUUAUUUAGAGUAAUAGUAUUUCAAAGCAAGAAGUGUUUUAGAGAGAACAUCAUUCUGCCUCUUGUUUAACAGGUGAGGAAACUGAGGAAAAACCAGCUUACCUGGCUAAUCAACCACAAGUACAGAUAGUUCCACAAUGACUCAAUGGAUAUUACUUCAACUUUGUUCCCUCAAGAAACUUUUGUGAUUAAGCUUGUUGAUUUGUGGCUUGAUGGUUUACAGGAAUGGUCAUUUUUAAUAUCUAGGACCCUGCUUGCUUGCUUGCUUGCUUGCUUACUAGACUGGCUGCAUAGUCAGUCUUCCACGUGUAAACAACAGUGUGUGCUUUAGUGGAUAAGAGAUGUUGAGUGCUGAGAUUUCAAGGCUCAGCACUGAGUAGACCUAGAGCAUUUUUAUUUAUACUAAAUUAAUGCCAUGGUAACAUAAGUUAGACAGCAAGUGAAUAUGGCAUCAAAUGUACAAAGUUGAGUAUCUCUUUACUAGUCAAUGUAUAAGGAAUUUAUUUACCCAAGCAAUUAUCUUAAAAACAGCAUUACAAGUGGUAUGCGAAACAUUUCCAGAAUUUAUUUCCACAUCUGCUCUUUCAGUGGCAUCAUCCAUUCCUGAGCUCAAGAAAAGGCCUCUGCCAACCGCCAGUAAUCCUGCUUUUUUAGUAAUCCUACUAUUUUUUUUUUAACUUUAAGUUCUGGGAUACAUGUGCAGAACAUGCAGGUUUGUUACAUAGGUAUACAUGUGCCUAUGUAUACCUAUGUAACAUGGUGGUUACAGUAAACAUGGUGGUUUACUGCAUCUAUCAACCCGUCAUCUAGGUUUUAAGCCCUGCAUUCAUUAGAUAUUUGUCCUAAUGCUCUCCCUCCCCUUUCCCCCACGCCCCGACAGGCCCCAGUAUGUGAUAUUACCCUCCCUGUGUCCAUGUGUUCUCAUCGUUCAACUCCCACUUAUAAGUGAGAAUAUGCAGAGUUUGGUUUUCUGUUGUGUUACUUUGCUUAGAAUGAUGGCUCCCAGCUUCAUCCAUGUCCCUGCAAAUGACAUGAACUCAUUCUUUUUUAUGGCUGCAUAGUAUUCCAUGGUGUAUAUGUGCCACAUUGUCUUUAUCCAGUCUAUCAUCGAUGGCAUUUGGGUUGGUUCCAAGUCUUUGCUAUUGUAAAUAGCACUGCAAUAAACAUACAUGUGCAUGUGUCAAAAAAAAAAAAAAAAAAAAAAAAAAAAAAAAAAAAAAAAAAAAAAAAAAAAAAAAAAAAAAAAAAAAAAAAAAAAAAAAAAAAAAAAAAAAAAAAAAAAAAAAAAAAAAAAAAAAAA
rnacentral:lncRNA from 1 species